AAGUCCUUUAAACUGAUCCCGUGAGGUCGGUAAGGAGUCGGCUGUAGAGUCCGAACGCUUGCGAGCGUUUCUGGCACUCUGCAAAGAACUGUGUGCAUAUAAACAGGAGGCUUCUUCCGCGAGGGAAGAAGCCUUUUUUGU
rfam:Tumebacillus algifaecis strain THMBR28 chromosome, complete genome.